rnacentral:tRNA from 1 species
GCACCGUUAGCUCAGUUGGUAGAGCAGCUGACUCUUAAUCAGCGGGUCCCAGGUUCGAGUCCUGGACGGUGUA